UUUUUUUUUGUUUGUUUGUUUUGUUUUUUCUGGUGGCAGGGAGGUUGCUCUACGAUUUGUGAUAUACACUUUUAACUUAACAGACUACUCUAAAUGACACACACCACUCACACACACAACAGUAUCCUCUCUCCUUUCAUCCUCCUGUCCCAGUGCUACUGUUGCUAUUCACAUUCAUUUAACAUAGAGUUCUGGGGAUCCAUAAUGUGUUGUUAUUAUGUUUGCUUUGAGCGAUUUUCUUUUUUUGUUGUUGUUGUUGAUUUUUUUUGUUUUUGCUUUGUAGGGCCACACCUGCAGCAUAUGGAACGGCCCAAGAAAUAGCAAAAAGACAAAUAAAGAAAGAAAGAAAGAAAGAAAGAAAGAAAGAAAGAAAGAAAGAAAGAAAGAAAGAAAGAAAGAAAGAAAGAAAACUGUUAUUGAAAAAAAAAUUAUAUGCUUUGGUAUGGUUUCCUCUGGUUGGGGUUCACUGAACUUGGAUUUGUAGGCUUACAGUUUUCAUCACAUUUGGAUCAUGUCCAGCCAUUCUUUGUUCAAAAUAUUUUCAAAUAUUUUUUUCUGGUCCUCCCCUCCUUCUGAGAGUCCAAUUGUACAUAUAUUAGACAACAUGGGAUUGUUCCAUAGCUCACUGAGGCUCUGUUCAGUUUUUUAACUGUGUUUUUCUCUCUGAUCAAUUUUGACCAAAUGCCAGACAUGGUUACUUUUACAUUAUUGAGGGCUAGAUCUUACUGUCUCCCUUAAGACUGCUGGAUUUUGUUUUGCCACAAAUGAGCAAUUUUCAAACCAAUUCGAUCUGUCAGGGCUUGCCUCUCCAGGCUGUCAUGGCAAGGGCCAGACCAGCCUAACCCGGAACUAGUUCAGCCCACUUACUAAGCUGUGACCCUUCUGAGACCUCUACCAAAUGCCCGUGUAUAAUGAGGUCUCUCCAUUCUGGUUUUGUGAAUUUUAUAUGGGGGCCAAUAUUCUUCCCACUUAUUGCCAUGCUUGUUCUGUCAUUGUCUUCCUCCCCACACAAGCAGGUCAUCACUUAGCCAAGCCCUUGGGGGGAACAUUUUGCGGAUCCGCAGAACUCUCUCUUUGUACAACUCCUUCUUCUUUGUAAUUAUUCUCUUUAAAACGUAGUUGCCUUGUCCUCUCCAUGCUGCCUGCUUAGCUCUAGGUCCUCUAGCUCCACUCCCUGCCCUGCCUCCUGGCAGCAGGCUGAGCCUACAGCAGAAUCACCUCCUUUGUCAUCCCACACCCAAGGAUCAGAGUUCUUAAGGGCCCCUUGUCCAACACGUGAAAAACAUUUCCUAUAUUUUGUCUGCUUUUCUAGUGUUUAUCGUGAGAGGUCAAUACCCACAGCAGUCAAUCCCUCAUGGUCAAGAGCAAAAACUCCUCCAAGAGCUAAAUAAGAUCUUUUUCUGUGAGGCACUUUAUAGACUAUGAAUCAGAAGGUAAAUAUUAGCACAAGAAAACACACCUAGAUAGAGAAAUACAUACCUCAUGCUCCAGACUUUUUUUUCUUACUCUACCACAAAGACUGGUACCAGAAAAAGAACACCAUCAUUCAUAAGAGGAAACAUUCUGGGAAGGUUAAUUUCCCCCACAUCAAAAUUCCCAAAUUACUCAGAGCAUGAAAUGUCUUUAAAAAGUAUUCCUUUGUACAAAGCGCUGGCCUUAUACAAAUGCAAAUAACUCUUGGAAAGAAGAGCAUUUUAUAUUCUCCAUGAAUGAGUCUGCACUUAGGACUGGCCAUCUGUGGGUCCUGUGAAGCACCACCGCACAGAGGGUGGGGGUGUCUAGACUGCGGGCGGAGGGGAAUGAAGGUGAAGGAGAAAGUACAUUGCUAAUGGGCAAGAAGGAGGGCAGAAUGAUCAGCGUCACAGCCUGGCCCAGGGCAGGCCCGGAGGGAAAGGAUUUGCCUGCCUGCUAUAUUUCCCUUGGGGACUAUCUGUAAUUACUAUCACAGCUCAUUGAUUUUCAAUUCUUUCUAUUAAUACAUUUAUUGGCCAUUCUGACAUUAUUAAAAUCAGUCCAACUCUGCUUCUUCGGGGAAGGCUAUCGCUUCCCUAAAACAUGAGUUUUGCAAGUAGGGAUUUUUUUUUUUUUUUUUGCUUAAAAAAAAAAA
ensembl:lncRNA